rnacentral:misc_RNA from 1 species
UUUCCGUAGGUGAACCUGCGGAAGGAUCAUUAUUGUAUAGCCGAGGUGCGAGGGCUGUCGCUGACCCGAAAGGUCGUGCACGCCCGAGUGCCCUCACACACAUCCAUCUCACCCCUAUGUGCACCACCGCGUGGGUCCCCCUUUGGCUUGUUCGGAGGGGGGCUUACGUUUUCACACAAACUUUGUAUGCAGUGUAGAAUGUAUUAUUUGUUUUUGCGAUCACGCAAUCAAUACGACUUUCAACAACGGAUCUCUUGGCUCUC